rnacentral:rRNA from 1 species
CCAAUAGCGUAUAUUAAAGUUGUUGCAGUUAAAAAGCUCGUAGUUGAAUUUCGGGAUCAGCAUGUCGGUCGUGCCUCUGGUAUGUACUGGUAUCGUUGAUUUCUACCUUCUGACGAACCAUGAUGUCAUUAAUUUGGUGUCAUGGGAAAUCAGGACUGUUACUUUGAAAAAAUUAGAGUGUUUAAAGCAGGCACACGCUUGAAUACAUUAGCAUGGAAUAAUGAAAUAGGACGUUUGGCCCUAUUUUGUUGGUUUCUAGGAUCGACGUAAUGAUUAAUAAGGAUAGUUGGGGGGAUUAGUAUUAAAUUGUCAGAGGUGAAAUUAUUGGAUUUAUUGAAGACUGACUACUGCGAAAGCAUUUGCCAAGGAUGUUUUCAUUAAUCAAGAACGAAAGUUAGGGGAUCGAAGACGAUCAGAUACCGUCGUAGUCUUAACCAUAAACUAUGCCGACUAGGGAUCGGAUGAUGUUAAUUUUUUAAUGACUCAUUCGGCGCCUUACG